CAGCAGCCGCGGGAAUACGUAGGUGGCGAGCGUUGUCCGGAAUUAUUGGGCGUAAAGGGAGCGCAGGCGGGCGAGUAAGUCUUUCUUAAAAGUGCGGGGCUCAACCCCGUGAGGGGAGAGAAACUACUCAUCUUGAGUGCAGGAGAGGAAAGCGGAAUUCCUAGUGUAGCGGUGAAAUGCGUAGAUAUUAGGAAGAACACCAGUGGCGAAGGCAGCCCCCUGGGCCAAUACUGACGCUCAUGCACGAAAGCGUGGGGAGCAAACAGGAUUAGAUACCCCUGUAGUCCCUGUCUCUUAUACA
rnacentral:rRNA from 1 species